rnacentral:rRNA from 1 species
GAUCCUGGCUCAGAUUGAACGCUGGCGGCAGGCCUAACACAUGCAAGUCGAACGGUAACAGGAAGAAGCUUGCUUCUUUGCUGACGAGUGGCGGACGGGUGAGUAAUGUCUGGGAAACUGCCUGAUGGAGGGGGGAUAACUACUGGAAACGGUAGCUAAUACCGCAUAACGUCGCAAGACCAAAGAGGGGGGACCUUCGGGCCGUCUUGCCAUCGGAUGUGCCCAGAUGGGAUUAGCUAGUAGGUGGGGUUAACGGG